UAACACCAGCGCCACAAGUGGCAACCGCUUUUAUUGGGCCUAAAGCGUCCGUAGCCGGUUCAGUAAAUUUUCUGUGAAAUCGUUGGGCUUAACCUAACGUCGUGCAGGAAAGACUACUGGACUAGGGACCGGGAGGCGUCAGAGGUAUUCCUGAGGGAGCGGUAAAAUGCUAUAAUCUCAGGAGGACCACCGAUGGCGAAGGCAUCUGACGAGAACGGGUCCGACGGUCAGGGACGAAAGCUAGGGGAGCAAACCGGAUUAGAUACCCGAGUAGUCCUAGCUGUAAACUCUGCGAGCUAGGUGUUACGUAUUCUUCGGGAAUACGUAGUGUCGAAGCGAAGGUGUUAAGCUCGCCGCCUGGGAAUUAUGGUCGCAAGACUG
rnacentral:rRNA from 1 species